rnacentral:rRNA from 2 species
UAAGGAAUAUUGGUCAAUGGACGCAAGUCUGAACCAGCCAUGCCGCGUGGAGGAUGAAGGUCCUCUGGAUUGUAAACUUCUUUUAUCUGGGACGAAAAAAGGGAAUUCUUUCUCGUCUGACGGUACCAGAUGAAUAAGCACCGGCUAACUCCGUGCCAGCAGCCGCGGUAAUACGGAGGGUGCAAGCGUUAUCCGGAUUCACUGGGUUUAAAGGGUGCGUAGGCGGGUAUGUAAGUCCGUGGUGAAAUCUCCGAGCUUAACUCGGAAACUGCCAUGGGUACUGCGUAUCUUGAAUGUUGUGGAGGUGAGCGGAAUAUGUCAUGUAGCGGUGAAAUGCUUAGAUAUGACAUAGAACACCAAUUGCGAAGGCAGCUCACUACACAAAUAUUGACGCUGAGGCACGAAAGCGUGGGGAUCAAACAGG